GUUAUUAAUACCGACCACAAUCUACAAUCUCGGUCAAGCAAAGUUCGAAACAUAUCAAGACUUUCUCGUAUAGAAUAUUACAAGCUAUAUACUGCGUAAACAUUGAUGACGAGAUCCAUAACCAAUGAGAUAAGGGAACUGUAAAUAACCAUUCCAUGUGAACAUGUAGCUUGGUGAUUAAGCUUUUUAGGAUAUCAGAAUAUGACAGGAAAACCUAGGAUACAAGGUAGUAUAUAUAUCUGCUGUAAGAUUUUAGGAUGACUUUAUUUCUCAGCAAAAUCAGUUGGCUAGACUUGAUGAUUCCUGACAGUAUCAGCAAUAGUCCCUUCUACGGACCUGUACGUCCACCACAAAUUCUGCAAUUCCCUUGAACUCAACUUUACAUCUUCUUCUACUUCAAUGAAACUGUGAUGGCAUAGUCAAUCGAUAAUAUAGCAUUAAAAAACAGAUGAAAACAAAUUUGAGGGUGCAUCAACUAGUGCUUUAAUCAUCUUUCAUUUUCUUGCUACCAACGAGAAUUACCUUCUGGGGUAGUUGUAGCUACGAUACAUGCUCUUCAAGUUGUCCCCUAAUGCAGGAGUUCUAAUCGAAUAUGAUGUGCAUAUGUAUCUUCCUUUUGCUCAUGGUUUUUCAUAUACCAGCAGAAGUGCUUCUGCCACAUCACGUACAUCUACAACAGGAAAAUCUCUGAUCUCUGGCACGAAGAAGGAAGCCAUCUUUAUAGUCUCAGCGGCUGAUAUAAUCCUCUAAUGUUCUGAAGCCGGGGGCCAAAACACCUUAAAGAUUGAUCCCUGGUCUAUAAUUAGCGAUCAAUCAUCUUUAAUUGUAUCAGCUGAAUGUUUUUCUUGCUUUGAGUGAAGUUAGGUUGCACUCGAAUGGAUGUGCUAUGUGACUGUAAGGGCAAUAAUAUUUGCCGAGCUGGUGGAGUUGGUAUAUACAAUCCAGGGCUUUGAGACAUGUUAAGAAUCAACUGACACUAAAUGUGAUAAUUUCUUUUAUAUGCAUUAACUGAAGGAAAAAUGAUUUUAUAUGUCUCUUAUAAUUGUUUGUGAGGAAAAGCUGGAGAUCUGACCCUUUUCUCUUUAACUCCUGUUUCCUGUAGAAUAUCAAACAAGGGAAGGCCUAUAAAGUGAUCAAUCCAAUGUAUCUUUAUCAUUGAUGAGUUCUGAUGGGUGGCAGAUACUGGCAAGUACUAAUUAACAUUGUGUGAGCACCAAUUACUUUUUGCAAUGGAUGGUUUCUUUUUUACUA